CUGUGCUAGCAAUCAGUGAGACUCCGUGGGCGUAGGACCCUCCGAGCCAGGUGUGGGAUAUAAUCUCGUGGUGCGCGGUUUUUUAAGCCCGUCGGAAAAGCGCAGUAUUCAGGUGGGAGUGACCCGAUUUUCCAGGUGCCGUCCGUCACCCCUUUCUUUGACUCAGAAAGGGAACUCCCUGACCCCUGGCGCUUCCCAAGUGAGGCAGUGCCUCGCCCUGCUUCGGCUCGCGCACGGUGCGCGCACCCACUGACCUGUGCCCACUGUCUGGCACUCCCUAGUGAGAUGAACCCGGUACCUCUGAUGGAAAUGGAGAAAUCACCCGUCUUCUGCGUUGCUCACGCUGGGAGCUGUAGACCGGAGCUGUUCCUAUUCGGCCAUCUUGCCAUUUUUCCUUUUUAUUUUGGAUAAGAAAAUUACAACUCACGUAGUUACCGGCUAAAGUCAGUGUGGAACUGAGAACAUGAAGCUAGGCCUCCUGAAAUCAGGUAAAUACUUAAAGUGGAAUUGCUGGGUAUUAUGGUAAGUAUAUGUUUAUCUUUACUAGGAGUUGCCGAACUGUUUUCCAGAGUGGUUUUAAUAUCUUUAAUACUCCAACCGGCAAUAUAUGAGAGUCCAGUUGCUCCCCAACUCAUCAACACCUGGAAUUAUCUAUUUAAUAUAUAUGCAUG
rnacentral:lncRNA from 1 species